UUUUUUUUGCAAUUUUAUUGCAUUAGCGUAGAAUGCUACUGGGUAUGCAACCUCUAGCCACAAUAACUUACCGUUGGUUCUUAAAGUGUCUAGAUUGUCUGGUUAAAUUCUAGAAACAUCGGAAAAAAACUCACUUGUUCAUAUAUUUUGAAAAACUGAUACAAGCGUAUUUCACUUCAUGGCAUUCUGAUUGUGUUUGGCAAUUAUAGUGAUUUCAGGUAUAUUUUUUGUAUAGAAUCGUUAUACUAUUUGAAGUCAUUAUCGUAUCAUGACUAGGGUAGAUUUUACCAUCGGCUGAAUGCAUAGUAUAGGAAUGGGUAGUGUAGACGUUUCAACAAUCUUCUCUUGAACUAGAGCUGUAGUAGUUUUUAAACUAGCCAAACAAUUUUCUCAAACUCUUCUUUUAAACUAUAGAGCUGGGGUAGGUAAUUUUGUGGGUAGAGUAUAUAUAUGCACUUUAUAACUUAUCCUGAAGAUUAAUUUGGGCUCGUAGGAUUAGACUAGCUUCUAAACCCGUUAAACUCUACUUAUCAUAAUGUGAAAACAAAAUUACUUUUGCUCUUAUAGAUAUCAUAUCACCUCCGUAAUGAUUCAGUUUCUGCGCUAGGAGAUUCUUUGGUUGGAAAUUGUGUUUAGUUUUUUAUUCUCGUCCUAAUUCUCUAUCCAUUUCACCAAAUGUCUAAUGAUAUUCAAAAUACUACGGGGAAGUGCCUUGCGCCUAGAUACCAAAUGAAAUAGGACUGCACUGCGUGUUGCGAUUCAUAGUCCUUGUGGUGGGAUACAUGCUUUUUGUAUCUGAAUGUGUGCUACUAUUGUAAACAUAGAUGUGGUAAACUUUGUCUAUUCCUAAGCCUGAGAUAUCUCAAACAACAUUAUGUAGUCCGUUUUGGCUUGUGGCAAGGCAGGCACUUUGUAGUUUCUUCAAGUUUUCUAUACGUUUUAAAGUUUGGAUCACCAAAGUUUGAACUUUCAGUAUAAACUUAUCAAUUCACCGGAUUCUGAAUUCUGUUGUACAUGUCUUCCCGUACAUCACCGAUACUAUUUGGCAGUUCCAUACACCAUUGUUUCAUUCAUCCGGGAUUAGAAGAUUCACUUCUAAAUUUGUAGAGUGGCUAGCUCCUGUGUGCUGGUGUAUUUAGGCAUUUUAUGAAUUAUUUUAUUUUUCUGCUAGGAGAUUGGUCGGCGGCAGCUGUAGAUGUCUUCACGCGCACCAUCGUAAUUAUUUGGCAGUUCCAUACAUCAUUAUUUCAUUCAUUCUGUAUUAGAAUAUUCAGUUGUUGUGUUGGUGUAUUUAAAUUUUUUCUGAAUUAUUUUAUUUUCUGCUAGGAGAUUGGUCAGGGGGUGGAACCAGCGAGCACCGUGCCGGGUGGUUACUAUGGGCAGUGCUUGGGUGGCAUCAGCAUCUUGCUGAGUGGCUUGGCGGCCUCGGCACUGGUGCGGGCGGGGCAUGCCAGUGGGGUUCAACGUGAAGGUCCAAUGAUGGAUUCUUCCAGCUACAGGUACACAUCCAUAAAGAGCUUGAACGAGGCCAAAUGUAAAUUUGGGAGACGCUUGCUGGGAAAGUGUAGUCCAUACACGACGAUGGUCCGUCAUUAGGUAUCCAGAUACUGAGACUGGUGCAGAUGAUUAGUCCUACUGGGUUAUAUCUGCAUUAGCCCAUUCAUGGACAUUGAAGAAUCCAGAUGAAGACAUUAUGUCAUUGAAAGGUGCUGGUGUUGAUGCUAUGGAGGUUUACAGAUGUGACAGGAAUGUUGAUGGCACCGAAUCCAGUGUGCCUUCACGCUGCCAAACACAGCGUGAUCAGGCAAGAGAGGAACACAACCGGUGAAGGAUGAGCAGCGGAACCGGAGGUUGUUCCUGCCACCAUGCAAGGAGGGGCACACGCUGUUCUGGUGCGGCAACUGCAAGGAGGGGGGCAUCGUGGUACCGGUGACCUGUCCCGGGCCGUGAUGCUGCUGUAAGUGCUCCACGCGUCACCGGCUCCUGCUGCCCGCUCCAUGACAAGUCGGAGAGGGACACGAGGCCAGCUCUGACUCCUUCCCAACCCGGAGAAAUAGCUUCACGAAGUCUUCCAGAAUCCAGGUCGUGGCUGACCUCACCAGCUGCUUGGAAAUUUUUGUUCCGACACAGCCGAAGCUGGCAUACACCAGCAUUCAAUCAAAGAAUUUUUUUUUUAAACAAUGACUUAUUUUAAACCAUGGAAUAAAGUUUUGGAUAUAAUCCUAAUUGAUCAAAAGCAUAUAUAUGCACCCGACACACUAA